rnacentral:rRNA from 2 species
UACAGAGGGUGCAAGCGUUAAUCGGAUUUACUGGGCGUAAAGGGCGCGUAGGUGGUUGUGUAAGUGAGAUGUGAAAUCCCCGGGCUUAACCUGGGAACUGCAUCUUAGACUGCAUAACUGGAGUGCGAUAGAGGGUAGUGGAAUUUCCGGUGUAGCGGUGAAAUGCGUAGAUAUCGGAAGGAACACCAGUGGCGAAGGCGGCUACCUGGAUCGACACUGACACUGAGGCGCGAGAGCGUGGGGAGCAAACAGG